UGAUAUUAUAAUCAAAUCAGAAGUUGAAGCCCAAACAUGUUUCUGCUGUGCAUUCGUUUUUCUGAGUAUUUGCCAAAAACCAAAAUGCUGAUAAUAAGAACAUGAAAACUGAUUAAAGAUAAUAUCAACAAAUAGAAGUGUAUAUAUAGACCAAAUUAAAAUUAGACGGGCAGUCCGAAAUGAAAAGCCAGAGAGCGGUUGCGUAACCGGACUCUCUAGUUCACACAUUCACUUUCUCUCUCUCUUAUACCACCCAUUAGUGAAGGUAGAUAAACAUUGGAAUAGGUCGGGGACAUCAGUAGAAACUAUUCGAAUCCGUUGGCAUUAAUUUACGCAACAACGAAAGAACACAUUCUCGUUUUUACUUUAUUCAUGAACAAAAGCUGAAGGCAAGGCCGAAGUCCACUCCGCCAAGGUUUAUCCGUUUCGAAAGCCCAUAUCAAAUGGGUUCCUUAGAAUCUGCCGUCCCUGAUAAACAACGAAGAGCACCAGUCCAAGAGCCCAAAGUUCACUAGUUAUGCAAUCGCCCAAACUCACAGCUCAUGUGAUAUGCGGGUGAUAUUAAGGGCAUACAGAUGUGAAGCUUUGUUUCAGUCCGCUUCGGCGGAGUGCAUUGAACUGGCCCCAAAAUACAGAUCUUCUGGUCGGUCAUCCCUCGGAGCAGAAGAGUCGUAAGCGUAAACUGUGAAUACGUGUUUUGUUUGCGAAGAAAGAUAACAUGAAAACAUAACGAAGACUGCGCAAACAACUCGAUUCGGUAUUUAAAUAUAUGCAAAAUGGAAAAAGUUUGCGAAACAACCGGCACAGUGGGUUUAAGGUGGCUUAUACUGGCAGACAUCUUUUAUUUUUAGAAUAUUUUUUUGGUAAAACCUCCAAUGUACAGUAGAAAGCUUCUAUUAGUCGAACUUUGAGUUUCAGACUUAAUUAGCCUCUGAAUAAGGGAUGCAAUUUUGAAUGCAUAAAUUGUCCUUCAAUUGAUUUUACUAAGAAAAUGAAACAGAAGAGGUUUAGCUAAGUAUAUGGAAAGCUAUUGGCGUUCAACAUUUUAUUUCGACUACCACUGUGCACAGCUCAAGUGUUCAAGUGGCGCAAAACAUAGGCGAAAGUUGAUUAGCUGCCGUUGCAGGUUAAUGAAUGGAAAUGACAUGAAAAAUAAUAUCAGAUCGCUUGGAGUAACACUAUAGGUCGGGACAACAAUUCAACACAGUUCACUACUGUGCUACCCGGAAUUCGAACUCCAAAGUUUCAACCCUAAGUACACAAAAAGAGACGUACUUAUGAAUGAGAACGCGCGAGUGGCGUGCUGGAAGCAAAGGUUAUGUCGAGUGUUCUCUCUAACUAAGCAAUCACUGUCCGGCUGAAAACAAUAAGGAAAUUGUGCGCAUUAAGCCUGUGAUUACUGUAGUCCGUACUUUGGACGCGAUGUCGCACAUGGGGGAAAAUUGGUGGUUGCGCCUAAACAAGCACUUCUCUAAAAACUGAUUGAAUCAGAUUCGUAAACCUUGGGGCUAGUGGCACACACCCGGCGUAUGCGUAUGUCUCACGAUGAUUGCUUUAAGCGGUGGAGAAGGUUGACAGCAUCGGCCGAAAAAUUAAAACAAAUCGUAAUUUACAUUACACACAUUCAGAAAUACUUUAACUAAUUGCCGAUCCAGUAGAGAUAAAUGGGUAGACUGAAAUGCCAUGUCCGAAAAGGUUUGCUGCUUAUAAUCGCUUUAUAAUAACGUUUAUAUAUAAAUAUUUUAAGUAAACAGUAGAAUCCAGAACAGGCUCGGGGUAAUUGUGGGUGUUUCGGUUCAAUGGGUUCAUAUAUUAGCACGCGUUACGGUUCGGCUAAGUGCAGUUUGAAAUAAAAUCAGGUAGAUUAUCUGAUAAUCCACACAAAAAUACGAAGUGUUAUUUUAGAUUUCUGUUCAAUAUUUCUCCAGUCACACUUAAGCGAUUGUACAACGCAAAACUGUUUCUAAUUUGAGGGGGAAACUCGCCUAAUUGCUUCUAUUAAAACAAAGGCACAAACCUUGUAUUAAUUACGACUGACAAAGGUGGGUACUUGUAACUGUUUUUCUCAACUGCUGGGGUGCUAGAAUACACAGGCUUGUUUGGUUUUCGUAUUGAUUGCUAUUAUUGCUGGCGAACUGCACGUCAGACUGCAACCGGCUGAAAGGCAUUGUGCAAACGAACAGCACGUUGUGCUUGAUUAAAUCACAAAACACACCUGGAAACGCCACGGAAAUAAAGAGAAACAAGUGGAGCAAGCCUCGAACUUGAAAACCUCUUUUGGUGGUGCCUGCAGACUGUUUUCGAUGGCACUGCAACUUUACAAGACGGAAAGCCAAAAAACGAGCUGCCAAAGUCCAAGAUCGCUUCGAGCUCCAACUCAGACAUUACGAAACCGCCAAGCAAUGCCAAAAUAAAGCGCUCGACAUUAAUUGUAUAGAAUGGCAUCAAAGAAAACUAAGCCCGCAAAGAACACGUCACCAGAAAUGCCCCUGACAUAGACGUGUCCACUUACGUGGACCUCAGUUGCGUUUAUCGCACAAAUAUUUGGUGCACUUCCCUCUGCUGUGCGGAGUUGCGCAGCAGAAAAUACGAGUGACUCAACUUUCAGCUGUUUUUGUUUGUGAAAUACUUUCUCAGCCCCAGUGGUCGCCACCUGUAUUGAUCAAUUCUCCCUCGAUCAGCGCUUCAUCGUUGACAGUCGACGCUGCUACAACGCUCCCGUAAAUAUUACUUGAACUUUGGCCAAGGUGCCGGCUUAUGGGAAAUAGCAGGGGGCACUGAUUGCCUUGACAUUGACCGGGACAGGCGGUGGUGUGAAGUAAAAUGUGAGAACGCGACAUUACUCUGCCCGCCGCGAGUGCGCAUAAUGCAAAAUUUAAAUUAAACUGCAACAUUUGAUUCAUUUAUUUUCAUACGGGCGGCAUUACGUGAGUGUCUGCUAUAUCUCCGACAGCCCGCUCCACCGAGCGGUCGUUCUCCAACGAAUAAUGGGUCGCAGUACACACAUAAAAACGGGAAAAAGUGCUCAAACGAGAUUGCAAUAAAGACAACAAUACUACACAGAGCGAAAGCAUUGCUCAUUGGGCAUCUUAUUUGAAGGAUCCACAAUAGGAUCAAUGACUUUAUAAUGGCAAAUAUGAUUCGGCAGAUAGGGAUUCCGAAAAGGGCUUUGAAUGCUCAUUCUACUAAAAGAGCAUCUGACUUGGAUCAUUAGGAAUCACAUUUUAAGAUCUAUGAGACACAGAGUAUGAAAACCUGCAUAGCCAAAGUCGAAUUAUGUUGAAACAUCGGGUCCUCAUCCCACAGAUAAUAACUCCAAAUCCAAUGUUUCGUAGAUCAGUUUACUUGCUAUUCUGUAUAUUUUCCCCGUACAAUCUAGAAUAGUUUCCUGUGUGGCCUCCGCAGCAUCGGCCAGUGAGAAGCACACUUGCACGGGGCGUUGGAUGCUUCAUUGAAUGAAAACGAGCCUCAGAGAAAGAGUAGCAAACAUGGCAAACAAACAAGCGAGUGGCCGUGUGGGUGGGUGUGUUGGGGCGAACUGAAAAUAAAUUUGAUUACGCCUGGGAGAAAGAGAGAAAGGAGGGUGAACUACACCCACUCACCCGCGGGGGGAAAGGAGAUCGGCGGACUCUCUUUUGCACUCGCUCACUUCGCAUGAAUGCUCGAGAUACGAACGCGACGGUGUGUGUGUGAAAGUAAGGCAGCCGCGUAGCGCUAAAAUAAAUGACCUAGACAAGCGCGUACUUAUCUCUAGAGUGACCAUCGAGCGCGGAGCACGUGCUCGAGUGAAAUUUUCCAGAGGAAAACAAACUUUGGCAAUGAUCGUGAGGGGCGGGGGCCGCUGGCAAAGUCAAAGCCCGGUUUAAUCGAAGCGGUACUGCGCGAAACCGGUUAGAAAAUCUACCAAAGUCAUGACUAAAACAAACACAAAUAAUGCUCAAGCGAUCCAGGGGCGUAGAUCGCAGGGGUUUCUACUAGCGCUCGUGCUGACAAUCGCUGUGGGCCUUACCUCUUCUCGAUCCCCUGCUCUCCAAGCCACUGACUUGUUUUCUAACCUGCCACUUGCCAAACAUAGAACAUUUUUAAAUCGCAAACGAGAUACGAAAAUUGGUUGGCAUGCCAACCAGAAAUAGAAACGGAAACAAAGCAACGAUUCCAGAAUUAAAGCUUGCGAAAGAUUAAAGGUAAAUUAGGCAGUUUAUGUUAUUAAAAAAUUAUUGUUUCUUUGGACACUAUUUAACAGUAAACCUACAAGUUUGUAAAUUGAAUGAGUUUUGUUAUUGGCUAACUAUUUUUUGGUCGAAUUGAGAGAAAUCAAAGUACUCAAAGAAACCAGAAAUGAAUACUCCCACUUUAUUUCCAUAAAAGAACACCAUUGGAUAGCAAUAGUUCUCGGUCAAUGCUAUCAAAUUGCAUCCUCCAUUAUUUGAAGUCAGUCCUUAUGCACCAAAUCGAAUUAUUAAAACCAACAGAGCGAGAAUUAAGGAGGAGAGAUGUAGCGCAACCGCAGCUGUUGCAUCGGGUGAACUGCCAAAUCCAGGGGUUGGGCAACAGGCCGAUUACAGAUUGUCGUUACAACCCGAAUUCCAGGGGUGGCCCACGACCGAGGCGGGCGGGACAUGGGAUGUGGGGUGUGGUUCAGACGACGUGCCCAGACAUCGCGUGACUAUUUUUGACUCUGCGCCCGGUGAGACAAGGAGUAUUGUGGAAUGGAAAACGAGAAUCCGAAACUGCAGCUGCACUGUAAACUUUUCUAGGGUAUCGAUUAAAAUUACAAAAGGCAGAAACAUUGAAUUUUAUUUUACACUGUAUAUUAUAUACUGCGGUGGGAUUAGAAACAAACCAGAACGUUACUGCACACAAAAUCUUGUGGGUCAAGUUGCCCAAUAUAAUAGUAAAAUGGGCCCAACACAUACUAUACACAAAACAUACUAUUUUGCGGUAUUUUGACUACUUUGCGACACAAUUUUUAAAAGUUCCUAAUUUUUUUAGAUCAGUAGAGGUCCUUUUAAAUUUUUUUGGCUGAGAGAUCAUAUACCAGUUCAAUCUACUGAAGUUUUUCAGUGUACAAGUGCAAUACAGUUUCAGUUCAGUGCGGCUACGGGAAAAGUCACGAGGCACUGGGCGAAAGGAGGGUGGCACUUUGGGUGGUUGGGUGGCAAGCGGCAGCACUGUGGCACGUUUUUCCUCGAUAUACCAGCUGAAAAUCGUAUGAGUUUCAGGGGAAACGUUGCCGCCGCGAGCCUAAAACAAAGUACAAAAAUAAUGCGGCGAAGAGAGGGAAAUGAGGCAUGUGAGUGCGAGAGUACUGUACUGUGUCUCAGGGCGAAGAGCGCUUGAGCGAGAGAGAAAGCCGGGGCAGGGACCCAGGGGCAAAGGGUGAAAGGUCAAAGAGCAAACUGUUUACAUGAGGCAACCGCGACGAGAGGCGAUGGAAAACUGGGCGGUCUGGCCAUGAAUGAAAGCUGAGACCGGCAAACGUGGCCCGCCCACGGGGCGAACGCCUUCCGUGUGGGAGGGCGUCGUCGCAGGUGGUGGAACAAUGGGCGCUUCACCAGCCAACUUUCUUCCGGACGGUGUUCCUUCUGCUCAACCUAUAUUUUCAGUUUCACAAAAAGGCUUAAUUAUAAAUGAUAUCUACCAAACAUAUUUUUAAAUUUUGAAUUGACUCGAAAAAUGUAAUAGAAUAAGAACAGUAAAGAGCUUCUUAGUGUAAACAUUGUCUGCAUCCAAACAUUAGUUCCAUCCAAAAGCAUCGAAAGUUGUAGGUGCCUACAUAAACUUAGACAACUAUGUUUUACCCGCUUUUAUAUUGUAGUCUUUGCUAGCUAAGUAUUUUAUUAUUACCUCGCUAAAGCUGCCACAUUGCACUUCUUAAAAUCAGAUGCCUUCAUUGGCUCCCUCUUCACUGCUAAAUAAUUAUUUAAAUACUACCUUUUUGGCCCGGACUAGACCUACUUUCGGACGUGGACCUUCAGCUUGCUAACCGCAGGACUAUCUGAACUUUUGGAUCGCUCGCAGCUUGAUGGGCGGCCCAACGUGCCCCCGCCUAGCAGAAAACUACUACCGGCAGCGACGAUGUGAGCGAUAUUCCGAUUAUUAAGUGCUUCCACCUCGGCUGUCUGAGGCGCGUUUCCGGCCACAGUGGAAGCCGCGCCCCAGAAACAACGGCGUGGCAGGAAAAGUGCAACCUACCCACCCACCGGCCACCCACCAGCCCCACCACCCACCGCCCACCGCUCAGCUGGUCGCGAGGUAUGGAAAACAGAUGACACACGGCGCCCACGGAGAUAAAACUCGCCUGAUUUUCAGUUGGUAUAACAAGCCGAGACAAAGAGAGGGACACAUCCAGUGCGAGGGCCAAGAGCGAGCUUGCGCAGAACGCGUUACAAGAAGAUUACACGUGCGAGCCAAGUAGGGGAAUCCGCCAAGAGCGCGAGAGAGAGAGCGCAGGAGAGCGGUUUUGUUUAUGUGCGUAGGCCUGAAGUGGAACGGGACCCUUCGCUCGCAUCUAAUUACAAUUUAAACUGCCUUGGGAAAGAAUGCAAUUAACAGGUUAAGAAUAACGGUAAGGCAGUCGUCGAAUGCAGUUGGACUUCGAGAAGUAGAACUACUCCAACUGAAAAUUCAGAGUGAGGAAGAUACAUUUCAGUCUAUACAGUUCUAAAGGGAUUUUGAUUACAUUAAGUACAAACGCACACGAUAAAAACUAUAAUGUUUAUUAAUAAGGUCAAAGCAUGAAACAAAAAGAGAAAUAAACUAAACUGUACUAAUACAA